CCUACGGGUGGCAGCAGUGAGGAAUAUUGGUCAAUGGGCGAGAGCCUGAACCAGCCAAGUCGCGUGAGGGAGGACGGCCCUACGGGUUGUAAACCUCUUUUGCCGGGGAGCAACGGGCGUCACGUGUGGCGCCACUGAGAGUACCCGGAGAAAAAGCAUCGGCUAACUCCGUGCCAGCAGCCGCGGUAAUACGGAGGAUGCGAGCGUUAUCCGGCUUUAUUGGGUUUAAAGGGUGCGUAGGCGGAACGUUAAGUCAGUGGUAAAAUUUAGGGGCUCAACCCCUUCCCGCCAUUGAAACUGGCGCUCUUGAGGGGAAGAGAAGUAUGCGGAAGGCGUGGUGUAGCGGUGAAAUGCAUAGAUAUCACGCAGAACCCCGAUUGCGAAGGCAGCAUGCCGGCUUCCGACUGACGCUGAAGCACGAAAGCGUGGGGAUCGAACAGGAUUAGAUACCCUGGUAGUC
rnacentral:rRNA from 1 species